UACGAAGGAUCCAAGCGUUAUCCGGAUUUAUUGGGUUUAAAGGGUGCGUAGGCGGGCUAUUAAGUCAGUGGUGAAAGCCCCCAGCUUAACUUGGGAACUGCCAUUGAUACUGAUGGUCUUGAGUACACUUGAGGUGGGCGGAAUGUGUCAUGUAGCGGUGAAAUGCUUAGAUAUGACACAGAACACCGAUUGCGAAGGCAGCUCACUAA
rnacentral:rRNA from 1 species